rnacentral:lncRNA from 1 species
AAGCAGAGCAAAAUAAGCCUACACACAUCACUAGUAACCAGUGUUACUAGUGUUAACCAGUGGGUAGUCAGAUGGAAGUUAACUAAGGAACACACUGUGCAGAGACCUCAAUGUUGCCCCUGAUUUUCUGUGACUUGUUAGUUCUGGGGCAUUCACUCCCAAAUGCAUUUGUGUUUCUGUAGGAGGAGGGCGGCAAAAUUAAUUUGUUUUCCUUUUUCAAUAGUAGAUAGAUUUUUUCCUUUGUUUGUGUGUCAGUGGACACAUAGCUCAGCACUCAGGGUCUAAACUGCUAUUGUGCACUGGUUCUCCUACAGAGACACAUUUUCAUUAACGUCUCCGUUAAUGCUACAACCGUGCUGCCUGGAACUUUAUCAGGAAAUUCUCUCUUUUCACUCAAAUAUGGAGAUCCUUCCUCACUGACGAUGUUUCGGGUAUUGCUUCUGAUUCUGCGAAAUGAAAUAUAUUCUAUGUUUGACAAGGGGCGAUAAAGUCGUUCAGGCCUUUGGCUUCCUCUCUGUUCAUGGUGGGAGAGGAGCCCACAGCACUGUGGUGGUGGGGCAAAGUCACGGAAGACCUUCCCCAUCUGUGAGACUCUCCUUGCCUGUGCCAUUCAGGAGGAAAGCAGUUAAGGAGAAGCACAGAGACUACGCAUUGAAAGCCCAAUGUCCUUGAAAAGCCCCCAAGGACAGGAAAAGUGAGAAGGCAGUGAUGGUGACCUUGAGCUCUUGGGGACUCUAUUAAGGAUCCUCUAAAGAAGGAAGCUUGGGCAGAGAAGACAGCCUUUGACUUGAGGGAAGGAAGUCACCAUCUAUGUUACUUUCAGUAGAAUGCAAACAGAUCCAAUCCAAAAAUAUUGCUAGAAAUAGAUUUUGACCAUAUUAUUCUUGACAAGGUAGUCAACCAACUUUGCAUUUUAUAAUAUGAUACAUUAUAUGGAUUCUAUAAACUCUUUCAAGAGUAGUUCAUUUAAAUGAGCCAUUUUAAUGGCUUGAAGAUUAAUUUCCAAGUAAAGAGAAAUUGGAUUGCCCCAAUUGUGUGUAAUAUUUGGCAGGAAGUUAGCGAGCUUCCAAAUGCAAAAAAAAGUAAGCAACUAAGAAACCCCUGACCUGAAACCUCCGAGACGCACUGAAGAUCGGUUAUACUUUAGUACUUAGUAACUAUAAUUUAUUUUGAUCUCUUUUUUUUGUUUUCAGAGAGGGUCUCAUAUUGUAGCCCUUUGAUAGCUUUUCUGUGUACACAAGACUGGCCUUGAACUCAUAGAGAUAUGACUACCUUUGUCUCCCGAAUGCUGGAAAUAAAGUUGUGUACCACC